rnacentral:rRNA from 4 species
AAAUUGAAGAGUUUGAUCAUGGCUCAGAUUGAACGCUGGCGGCAGGCCUAACACAUGCAAGUCGAACGGUAACAGGAAGCAGCUUGCUGCUUUGCUGACGAGUGGCGGACGGGUGAGUAAUGUCUGGGAAACUGCCUGAUGGAGGGGGAUAACUACUGGAAACGGUAGCUAAUACCGCAUAACGUCGCAAGACCAAAGAGGGGGACCUUCGGGCCUCUUGCCAUCGGAUGUGCCCAGAUGGGAUUAGCUAGUAGGUGGGGUAACGGCUCACCUAGGCGACGAUCCCUAGCUGGUCUGAGAGGAUGACCAGCCACACUGGAACUGAGACACGGUCCAGACUCCUACGGGAGGCAGCAGUGGGGAAUAUUGCACAAUGGGCGCAAGCCUGAUGCAGCCAUGCCGCGUGUAUGAAGAAGGCCUUCGGGUUGUAAAGUACUUUCAGCGGGGAGGAAGGCGAUAAGGUUAAUAACCUUGUCGAUUGACGUUACCCGCAGAAGAAGCACCGGCUAACUCCGUGCCAGCAGCCGCGGUAAUACGGAGGGUGCAAGCGUUAAUCGGAAUUACUGGGCGUAAAGCGCACGCAGGCGGUCUGUCAAGUCGGAUGUGAAAUCCCCGGGCUCAACCUGGGAACUGCAUUCGAAACUGGCAGGCUAGAGUCUUGUAGAGGGGGGUAGAAUUCCAGGUGUAGCGGUGAAAUGCGUAGAGAUCUGGAGGAAUACCGGUGGCGAAGGCGGCCCCCUGGACAAAGACUGACGCUCAGGUGCGAAAGCGUGGGGAGCAAACAGGAUUAGAUACCCUGGUAGUCCACGCCGUAAACGAUGUCGACUUGGAGGUUGUGCCCUUGAGGCGUGGCUUCCGGAGCUAACGCGUUAAGUCGACCGCCUGGGGAGUACGGCCGCAAGGUUAAAACUCAAAUGAAUUGACGGGGGCCCGCACAAGCGGUGGAGCAUGUGGUUUAAUUCGAUGCAACGCGAAGAACCUUACCUACUCUUGACAUCCAGAGAACUUUCCAGAGAUGGAUUGGUGCCUUCGGGAACUCUGAGACAGGUGCUGCAUGGCUGUCGUCAGCUCGUGUUGUGAAAUGUUGGGUUAAGUCCCGCAACGAGCGCAACCCUUAUCCUUUGUUGCCAGCGGUCCGGCCGGGAACUCAAAGGAGACUGCCAGUGAUAAACUGGAGGAAGGUGGGGAUGACGUCAAGUCAUCAUGGCCCUUACGAGUAGGGCUACACACGUGCUACAAUGGCGCAUACAAAGAGAAGCGACCUCGCGAGAGCAAGCGGACCUCAUAAAGUGCGUCGUAGUCCGGAUUGGAGUCUGCAACUCGACUCCAUGAAGUCGGAAUCGCUAGUAAUCGUGGAUCAGAAUGCCACGGUGAAUACGUUCCCGGGCCUUGUACACACCGCCCGUCACACCAUGGGAGUGGGUUGCAAAAGAAGUAGGUAGCUUAACCUUCGGGAGGGCGCUUACCACUUUGUGAUUCAUGACUGGGGUGAAGUCGUAACAAGGUAACCGUAGGGGAACCUGCGGUUGGAUCACCUCCUUACCUUAAAGAA